rnacentral:rRNA from 1 species
GACGGAGGGGCCUAGCGUUGUUCGGAAUCACUGGGCGUAAAGCGUAUGUAGGCGGCUUUCAAGUCAGGUGUGAAAUCCCAUGGCUUACCAUGGAACUGCAUUGAAACUGUAAGCUUGAGUAUUGGAGAGGAUGGUAGAAUUCUGGUGUAGUGGUGAAAUACGUAGAUAUCAGGAGGAAUACCGGUGGCGAAGGCGCCUCUGGCCAAAUACUGACGCUGAGAUACGAAAGUGUGGGGGAUCA